AAAUAGAAUUUUUGAGAAUUUUAUUUUUAAAAUACAACCUUUUGAUCAAAAAUCUAAAAGAGUACUCUUCUAUCAACAAAAAUUUUUCUUAUCCUAAUUUAUAAAUCAAAACCCCAAAUCUACAAUAUUUAUCUAUAAAAAUGAAAACUUUUCUAAAAUAGAAUUUUUGAGAAUUUUAUUUUUAAAAUACAACCUAUUGAUAAAAAAAAUCUAAAAGAAUACUCUUCUAUAAACAAAUUUUUUUCUUAUCCUAGUUUAUAAAUCACAACCCCAAAUCUACAAUUUUUAUUUACAAAAACGAAAAUUUUCCUAAAAUAGAAUUUUUGAGAAUUUUAUUUUUAAAAUACAACCUAUUGAUAAAAAAAUAUAAAAGAAUACUCCUCUAUCAACAAAAGUUUCUCUUAUCCUAGUUUAUAAAUCACAACCCCAAAUCUACAAUAUUUAUCUAUAAAAAUGAAAAUUUUCCUAAAAUAGAAUUUUUGAAAAAUUUAUUUAAAAAAUUCAAUAUAUUGAUAAAAAAAUCAAACAAAAUACUCUUCUAUCAACAAAAAUUCUUGUUGUCCUAAUCUCUAAACCACAACCCCAAAUCUACAAUAUUUCUCUACAAAACUAAAAACUUUCAUAAAAUAGAAUUUUUGAGAAUUUUAUUUUUAAAAUACAACCUUUUGAUCAAAAAAUCUAAAAGAGUACUCUUCUACCAACAAAAGUUUUUCUUAUCAUAGUUUAUAAAUCACAACCCCAAAUCUACAAUAUUUAUCUAUAAAAAUGAAAACUUUCCUAAAAUAGAAUUUUUGAAUAAAUUAUUUAAAAAAUACAAUAUAUUGAUAAAAAAAAUCAAACAAAAUACUCUUCUAUCAACAAGAAUUCUUGUUGUCCUAAUUUCUAAACCACAAUCCCAAAUGUACAAUAUUUAUCUACAAAAAUGAAAACUUUCCUAAAAUAGAAUUUUUGAAAAAAUUAUUUAAAAAAUACAAUAUAUUGAUAAAAAAAUCAAACAAAAUACUCUUCUAUCAACAAGAAUUCUUGUUGUCCUAAUUUCUAAACCACAAUCCCAAAUGUACAAUAUUUCUCUACAAAAAAUAAAAACUUUCCUAAAAUAGAAUUUUUGAGAAUUUUAUUUUUAAAAUACAACCUUUUGAUCAAAAAAUCUAAAAGAGUACUCUUCUAUCAACAAAAAUUUUUCUUAUCCUAAUUUAUAAAUCAAAACCCCAAAUCUACAAUAUUUAUCUAUAAAAAUGAAAACUUUCCUAAAAUAGAAUUUUUGAGAAUUUUAUUUUUAAAAUACAACCUAUUGAUAAAAAAAAUCUAAAAGAAUACUCUUCUAUCAACAAAUUUUUUCUUAUCCUAGUUUAUAAAUCACAACCCCAAAUCUACAAUUUUAUUUACAAAAAAAAAUUUUCCUAAAAUAGAAUUUUUGAGAAUUUUAUUUUUAAAAUACAACCUAUUGAUAAAAAAAUCUAAAAGAAUACUCUUCUAUCAACAAAAAUUUUUCUUAUCCUAAUUUAUAAAUCAAAACCCCAAAUCUACAAUAUUUAUCUAUAAAAAUGAAAACUUUCCUAAAAUAGAAUUUUUGAGAAUUUUAUUUUUAAAAUACAACCUUUUGAUAAAAAAAUCUAAAAGAGUACUCUUCUAUCAACAAAAAUUUUUCUUAUCCUAAUUUAUAAAUCAAAACCCCAAAUCUACAAUAUUUAUCUAUAAAAAUGAAAACUUUCCUAAAAUAGAAUUUUUGAGAAUUUUAUUUUUAAAAUACAACAUAUUGAUAAAAAAAAUCUAAAAGAAUACUCUUCUAUCAACAAAUUUUUUCUUAUCCUAGUUUAUAAAUCACAACCCCAAAUCUACAAUUUUAUUUACACAAAAAUGAAAAUUUUCCUAAAAUAGAAUUUUUGAGAAUUUUAUUUUUAAAAUACAACCUAUUGAUAAAAAAAUCUAAAAGAAUACUCCUCUAUCAACAAAAGUUUUUCUUAUCCUAGUUUAUAAAUC
rnacentral:lncRNA from 1 species